GGGCCCGUAGCUCAGUUGGAUAGAGUGCCGGCCUGCGGAGCCGGUGGUCCCGGGUUCGAAUCCCGGCGGGCCCG
rnacentral:tRNA from 1 species